rnacentral:rRNA from 1 species
CCUACGUGUAGCAGCAGUGAGGAAUAUUGGUCAAUGGGCGGGAGCCUGAACCAGCCAAGUAGCGUGAAGGAUGACAGCCCUAUGGGUUUUAAACUUCUUUUAUAAGGUACUAAAGUGCCCCACGUGUGGGGUUUUGUAUGUCCCUUAUGAAUAAGCAUCGACUAAUUCCGUGCCAGCAGCCGCGGUAAUACGGAAGGUGCGAGCGUUAUCCGGAUUUCUUGGGUUUAAAGGGAGCGUAUGCGGUUCAAAAAGUCAGCGGUAAAAUCGUGCGGCUCAACCGUACCGUGCCGUUGAAACUGUGGGACUUGAGUAUGCGCAGGGUACAUGGAAUGCGUGGUGUAGCGUUGAAAUGCUUAGAUAUCACGAAGAACUCCGAUCGCGAAGGCAUUGUACCGGAGCAAGACUGACGCUGAGGCUCGAAAGUGCGGGUAUCAAACAGGAUUAGAGACCCCUGUAGUC